AACAUUCAUUCAUUCGCCAAUAGGAUUGGCCCUUCCAACAGAAUAGCUCUGUUUCAAGACUCCGAUUAUCUCUUCGGCAACACCUUUCUGGUGAACACUGAUUGAAGGCCGAGCUUCCGGAUAGCAAUGGGACCUGGUGGACCGGGAGGAGGACCAGGAGAUCCUUGGGGCCCUGGAUUUGGAGGGCCAGGAGGUCCUGGUGGUUUCUUUGGUGGCUUUGCGAAUGGUUUGUGCAACAUGAUAUCUUCAUGCUUCUAUUGCCUCUGCUGUUGUUGGCUACUGCAAGACUGCUUUGGCGGACCCCGUGGCUAUGGCCCUCCCCCUUUCUAAUCCUCUCUCACCUGCUGCCUGCUGCCUGCUGCCCUGCUUGUGUUGUGUAAUGCCUUUUAAUAAACUUUACAAUCUAGUCAUUGCUUCUUAUUGUUGUUUUCCCUACUAUUUUCUUCUAUUUCCCUGUAAACUUUUAUCAGCGUUCAUAAAUGAUGUUAUAGACUGGUUGGAAUUUCCUUGUUAUCGU